AGACUUGCCAGGGGUCAUUGAGAAGUUAAGUGACUGGCCCAAUUAACAAGCAUGUUGUACAUACCCACCAGGUGCUAUCAUUCAGGAUAAAAAGACAAAAAUUAAAUAGUUCUUACCCUUAAGGGGCUUACAUUCUAUCUUCCAGGACUUGCCAGAGGCAGGACUUAAAUUCCUGAAUUCAUGUCUAGCCUUCAAGCUCCAGAGCCAAGUUAUGUUUUUUGAAAAUGAAUCACUAUGAUUCUUCUAAUGUCUUUGUUGAACAGCCAAGACUGCACAAAUGGGAUAUGGUAAAUGAAAGACAUGAAAGAAGAGAGGAAUGACAUGAUGAACAAGAUUUCCAUACAUCUAUCUAAGGAUCCCUUGAAGGGCCUGUGGAUCUCAGUUCAAGAACCCCUGCAUUAUUGAUUGAUAA
rnacentral:lncRNA from 1 species